rnacentral:rRNA from 1 species
GAUGAACGCUGACAGAAUGCUUAACACAUGCAAGUCUUUGGCGAAGCUGUGCUUGCACAGCCUAGCCAAGGCGGACGGGUGAGUAACGCGUAAGGAACUUGCCCUGCAGUCAGGGAUAACAGACGGAAACGACUGAUAAGACCUGGUAAAGUCAGGCGGACUCAUGUCCAGCCUGAUGAAAAGAGAUGCUGCAGGAGAGCCUUGCGUCCUAUUAGCUUGUUGGUGGGGUAACGGCCCACCAAGGCGAUGAUAGGUAGCCGGCCUGAGAGGGUGGACGGCCACAAGGGGACUGAGAUGCGGCCCUUACUCCUACGGGAGGCAGCAGUGAGGAAUAUUGGACAAUGGGGGCAACCCUGAUCCAGCAAUUCUGUGUGCACGAUGAAGGUUUUCGGAUUGUAAAGUGCUUUCAGCAGGGAAGAAAAAAAUGACGGUACCUGCAGAAGAAGCGACGGCUAAAUACGUG